rnacentral:rRNA from 1 species
UGGUGGAGUGAUUUGUCUGGUUAAUUCCGUUAACGAACGAGACCUCGACCUGCUAAAUAGUCCGGCGAACCUUCGGGUUCGUGCGGGCUUCUUAGAGGGACUAUCGGUGUUUCUAGCCGAUGGAAGUUCGAGGCAAUAACA